CCUACGGGAGGCUGCAGUGGGGAAUAUUGGGCAAUGGGCGCAAGCCUGACCCAGCAACGCCGCGUGAAGGAAGAAGGCCCUCGGGUUGUAAACCUCUUUUGUCAGGGACGAAAUAAUUGACGGUAGCUGAGGAAUAAGUCACGGCUAACUACGUGCCAGCAGCCGCGGUAAUACGGAGGUCGCAAGCGUUAUCCGGAUUUACUGGGGGUAAAGGGAGUGGAGGGGGGAGGGCAAGUCAGAUGUGAAAUUCCAGGGCUUAACCGUGGAACUGCGUUUGAAACUGGUUUUCUUGAGUGCUGGAGAGGCAGGCGGAAUUCCGUGUGUAGCGGUGAAAUGCGUAGAUAUACGGAGGAACACCGGUGGCGAAGGCGGCCUGCUGGACAUUAACUGACGCUGAGGCGCGAAAGCGUGGGGAGCAAACAGGAUUAGAUACCCCGGUAGUC
rnacentral:rRNA from 1 species